rnacentral:rRNA from 1 species
UACGUAGGGAGCAAGCGUUGUCCGGAAUCAUUGGGCGUAAAGCGCGCGUAGGUGGCCAUUUAAGUCCGCUGUGAAAGUCAAAGGCUCAACCUUUGAAAGCCGGUGGAUACUGGAUGGCUAGAGUACGGAAGAGGCGAGUGGAAUUCCUGGUGUAGCGGUGAAAUGCGCAGAUAUCAGGAAGAACACCCGUGGCUAAGGCGGCUCUCUAGUACGGUACUGACGCUGAGACGCGAAAGCGUGGGGAGCGAACAGG